UGGGGAAUUUUGGACAAUGGGGGGAAACCCUGAUCCAGCCAUCCCGCGUGUGCGAUGAAGGCCUUCGGGUUGUAAAGCACUUUUGGCAGGAAAGAAACGUCGCGGGUUAAUACCCCGCGAAACUGACGGUACCUGCAGAAUAAGCACCGGCUAACUACGUGCCAGCAGCCGCGGUAAUACGUAGGGUGCAAGCGUUAAUCGGAAUUACUGGGCGUAAAGCGUGCGCAGGCGGUUCGGAAAGAAAGAUGUGAAAUCCCAGAGCUUAACUUUGGAACUGCAUUUUUAACUACCGGGCUAGAGUGUGUCAGAGGGAGGUGGAAUUCCGCGUGUAGCAGUGAAAUGCGUAGAUAUGCGGAGGAACACCGAUGGCGAAGGCAGCCUCCUGGGAUAACACUGACGCUCAUGCACGAAAGCGUGGGGAGCAAACAGGAUUAGAUACCCUGGUAGUCCACGCCCUAAACGAUGUCAACUAGCUGUUGGGGCCUUCGGGCCUUGGUAGCGCAGCUAACGCGCGAAGUUGACCGCCUGGGGAGUACGGUCGCAAGAUUAAAACUCAAAGG
rnacentral:rRNA from 1 species